rnacentral:rRNA from 1 species
CGUGUAGGCGGUUUGUACAGUCAGAUGUGAAAUCCCAGGGCUUAACCUGGGAGCUGCAUUUGAGACGUGCAGACUAGAGUGUGAGAGAGGGUUGUGGAAUUCCCAGUGUAGAGGUGAAAUUCGUAGAUAUUGGGAAGAACACCGGUGGCGAAGGCGGCAACCUGGCUCAUUACUGACGCUGAGGCGCGAAAGCGUGGGAGCAAACA